GUUUUUUUUUUUAGAUAGUGUUGCGGGAAAGAUCGUAGUCCCCCUUCUGUCAGGUGUCCCUCGACCGCCCAAGUGGUGUGUAAGGGGGGAGCAGCCCUUUCAGGGGAACGUGUCUGCACUUCAUUGUGUGUUGCGAGAUCCUUGACUUUUACUUUGAGGAAAUAAGAGUGUUCCAAGCAGGCUCUCGUCGUGCAUAGCUCAGCAUGGAAUAAUAGCAUUGGACUUCGUUUCUACGCUGUUGGUUGCAAGAAGCGAGGUAAUGAUGAAGAGGGAUAGUUGGGGGCAUUCGUAUUUAACUGUCAGAGGUGAAAUUCUUGCAUUUGUUAAAGACGGACUACUGCGAAAGCAUCUGCCAUGGAUGUUUUCAUUGAUCAAGAACGAAAGUUAGGGGAUCGAAGACGAUCAGAUACCGUCCUAGUCUUAACUAUAAACCAUGCCGGCUAUUUUUUUUUUGGUCGUUCGAUUUGUGACCCUUCCUCUUCUUGAGAGAAAUCAAAGCCUUUGGGUUCCGGGGGGAGCCUGGUCGCAAGGCUGAAACUUUAAGGAAUUGACCGACGUGCCCACCAGCAGUGGAGCCCUGCGGCUAAAUUCUCUCACACGGGAAAAACACCCCGCCCGACUCAUUCCGCCUCCUGAACUAUACUCUCUCCGAUUCUAUGGGUGGU
rnacentral:rRNA from 1 species